rnacentral:misc_RNA from 1 species
UCGCGGCUUAUCACCGGCAGUCCCCUUAGAGUGCCCAACUAAAUGAUGGCAACUAAGGGCGAGGGUUGCGCUCGUUGCGGGACUUAACCCAACAUCUCACGACACGAGCUGACGACAACCAUGCACCACCUGUCACUUUUGUCCCCGAAGGGAAAUCUCCGAUUAGGGAGAGGUCAAAAGGAUGUCAAGCUUAGGUAAGGUUCUUCGCGUUGCUUCGAAUUAAACCACAUGCUCCGCUACUUGUGCGGGUCCCCGUCAAUUCCUUUGAGUUUUAAUCUUGCGACCGUACUCCCCAGGCGGACAACUUCACGCGUUAGCUGCGUUACUAAA